UACGUAGGGGGCAAGCGUUGUCCGGAAUUAUUGGGCGCAAAGCGCGCGCAGGCGGUUUCUUAAGUCUUGUGUUUAAGAUCGGGGCUCAACUCCGGUACGCAUGGGAAACUGGGAGACUGGAGUGCAGGAGAGGAAAGUGGAAUUCCACGUGUAGCGGUGAAAUGCGUAGAGAUGUGGAGGAACACCAGUGGCGAAGGCGACUUUCUGGCCUGUAACUGACGCUGAGGCGCGAAAGCGUGGGGAGCAAACAGG
rnacentral:rRNA from 1 species